UGCUCAAACCUUUUUCCCCCCAAAAAAAGCCUUCAUACUUGGGAACAUGCUUGAAAAGCGGAACUACCCAGAAUGCAUUUCGGAAGAAAUGGCGGAGGAGAGACCACGCAAUUGGACUAUUGAGGAAACACAAGUCCUGAUUAACUGGCGUUCUGACAAUGAGAUCCUUUUCACGGGGAAGAGGAACUCAUCCAUAUGUGGCUGGGAAGACUUUGUGACCUCUUCAGGUCUGGAUGUGACAGCCAAACAGGCCAAAAAAAAAUGGGAAAAUAUGAAGGCCAAAUAUAAGGAGCUUAGGGACCCGCCAAAUGGAAAAGGGGUCGGGGCUGGUGGUGUGGCUGCUGCCACCUGGCCCUGGUACAGCACUAUGGAAGAUGCGCUCCAGGGGAAGCACUCCUUCAGUCCGUCCCUGGUUCUGGCAGCAAACGUGUCUGCCACUGCAGGUGGUACAGUCAGCAUUCCAGCCUCCACCUCUUCUGCCUCUGAAGGAGCCACAGCCACAGCCAGCCAGCCACAGAGGAAGAGAGGGAGGGACAGCGAUUCUAUCCUCCAAUUUCUGAGGGACCAGGCAGAGAGGGAAGAGGAGAGGGAGAGGGAGGCGUUGGCCAGGGAGGAGAAAAGAGAGAGAGCGGCAGCAGCAAGAGCUGAGAGAUAUCUUUCUCUCUUUGAAAGACUUGUUAAUAAAUUGUAAGAUGAAUAACAUAUGUACAUCUAUCUCUCUGUCUCUCUAUUCAUGUACAUAUAUUUACAAAUUACUAGUGAACAUGACUACAUCUGGAGAAUUUUUAAUGUAGAUGUAGUAAUGCUCACUGAGGCAUAUAGGUAGCUCUUCAGGAGCAGACAACUGGUCAGCAAGCCUAGCUCAGACAUCACUUCCUGCCUGGUCCCUCUGGUUGACCUCACCGUCACCUGGGUCGUCGCCAUCAUCCACCCCUGGACCCCCCCUCCUCUGCUUCCAUGAUGUCACCCGCUGCCACACAGAUGUUAUGGAGGACGUGUCUCCACUGCUCUCAAAACGAUGGCGCGCCAGCAGGUUUUCAAUACUCCGAAGGAGGAAGAAUUCGAAUGUGCCACCCAUCAAUGGCCCCAGCAAGACUACGAAAUACCUGAUGGCCAGCCAAGAGAGGAAAGCUCCAAUGUCCUUCACCUAUUCCUGACUGGGGAAGGGGAUGAUGCACUUCAGUUCAUCCACAACAGUGGACGUUCCAGCAGACUGUUGCCUGUGGGAUACAAAAGAAAUUGGCCGUCAUGUGAUAGGAGGCGCCAUAGACGAGCUAGUAAAAACUGACCAGUACUCCAUCCAUGGGCUUUUUCCUGGGGAAACAUUGUAUCAAUGUAAUGAUGCUUUUUCUGAAAACCUUGAACACUGGUGUCACAUCACCUCUGGAAAAGAAAGUGGCCAUGACAGGCCCAUUAUUAUUGACUUGUUCAUAUUGUUGCUGAUUAAUAAAAAACUUUAGAAUUAAAAAAAAAAGUUUUUUUUACUUUUACUGAACUUAAUUGUGCUUUUAGAGUUUUAGGUUCUGUUGAAGUUUGUUAAAAUAAAGUUUGUUUA